rnacentral:sRNA from 1 species
ACCACUCUCGUGGCCGGCUCCCGCAGCCGUCGCGACCUGCGGGGGACUCUGCCGCACCCCUUGCAGCGCCUGAGGGUCCCGCCCCCGCCUCACGGGGCCCGUCGAGCCCGUAGCGUGGCCUCCAGCGUGCGGGACAACAACCCCCAGGUGGACUGGAAGGACUGGAAGAUCGGCUUCCAGCUGUGCAACCAGAACAAAUCGGACUGCUUCUACCAGACAUACUCAUCAGGGGUGGAUGCGGUGAGGGAGUGGUACCGCUUCCACUACAUCAACAUCCUGUCGAGGCUGCCAGAGACUCUGCCAUCCCUGGAGAAGGACACGCUGGGCAACUUCAUCUUCGCCUGCCGCUUCAACCAGGAAUUACUCUCACUUCCACCACCCGAUGUAUGGAAACUGCUAUACUUUCAAUGACAAGAACAACUCCAACCUCUGGAUGUCUUCCAUGCCUGGAAUCAACAAUGGUCUGUCCCUGAUGCUGCGCGCAGAGCAGAAUGACUUCAUUCCCCUGCUGUCCACAGUGACUGGGGCCCGGGUAAUGGUGCACGGGCAGGAUGAACCUG